rnacentral:rRNA from 1 species
GAUGAACGCUGGCGGCGUGCCUAAUACAUGCAAGUCGAGCGAACAGAUAAGGAGCUUGCUCCCUUGACGUUAGCGGCGGACGGGUGAGUAACACGUGGGUAACCUACCUAUAAGACUGGAAUAACUCCGGGAAACCGGGGCUAAUGCCGGAUAACAUUUAGAACCGCAUGGUUCUAAAGUGAAAGAUGGUUUUGCUAUCACUUAUAGAUGGACCCGCGCCGUAUUAGCUAGUUGGUAAGGUAACGGCUUACCAAGGCAACGAUACGUAGCCGACCUGAGAGGGUGAUCGGCCACACUGGAACUGAGACACGGUCCAGACUCCUGCGGGAGGCAGCAGUAGGGAAUCUUCCGCAAUGGGCGAAAGCCUGACGGAGCAACGCCGCGUGAGUGAUGAAGGUCUUCGGAUCGUAAAACUCUGUUAUUAGGGAAGAACAAAUGUGUAAGUAACUGUGCACGUCUUGACGGUACCUAAUCAGAAAGCCACGGCUAACUACGUG